AACGUAGGAGACAAACGUUAUCCGGAGUUACUGGGCGUAAAGGGCGUGCAGGUGGUCUGUUAAGUCUGGCGUGAAAGCUCCUGGCUAAACCGGGAGAGGUCGUUGGAUACUGGCGGACUAGAGGACGGUAGAGGCGUGUGGAAUUCCGGGUGUAGUGGUGAAAUGCGUAGAUAUCUGGAGGAACACCGGUGGCGAAGGCGGCGUUCUGGACUGCAACUGACACUGAUGAACGAAAGCCAGGGGAGCAAACGGG
rnacentral:rRNA from 1 species